UACGUAGGGUGCGAGCGUUGUCCGGAAUUAUUGGGCGUAAAGGGCUCGUAGGCGGUUUUGUCGCGUCGGGAGUGAAAACCCAGGGCUUAACCCUGGGCUGGCUUCCGAUACGGGCAGACUAGAGGUAUGCAGGGGAGAACGGAAUUCCUGGUGUAGCGGUGAAAUGCGUAGAUAUCUGGAGGAACACCGGUGGCGAAGGCGGCAUCCUGGACCGGUAUUGACGCUGAGGCGCGAAAGCCAGGGGAGCAAAGCGGG
rnacentral:rRNA from 1 species